rnacentral:lncRNA from 1 species
AUAAACAAAAGCGGCCAGGGGGAGGGGCGCUAGCCCGAUCAGUUGGCCCGGGAAGCUCAAGCUCAUACUCCGGAGGAACUCCGUAUUGAAUCUUAAUCAGCGAGAGUUCGUCCGAGGUCAAAGAGUUGGAAAUGGUGUAUGGUACAAAGAUCGAACGAGGUCCGACCCUAAGUAUGGGUUCAUCUACAGUACUAGGAUUUUGGGGGGCUGGAACGGAUGAACUUCUAGAACUGCUAGAGGAGGAAGUGUUGGAGGAUAUUUUGAAUCAAAUAAGAAUCCCAAAAAAAUUGGAAAAAAUAGGAAACAAGGCGCUCGUAGAGAAAGCGAAAGGGCGGAAUGCAGAGGAGGAAAA